rnacentral:rRNA from 1 species
AGGACUAACGCUGGCGGCGUGCCUAACACAUGCAAGUCGAACGGGGGUAGCAAUACCCCAGUGGCAGACGGGUGAGUAACACGUGGUCAACCUACCUCUGUGUGGGGGAUAACUAGCCGAAAGGUUAGCUAAUACCGCAUACGAUCGUUUUGUAGGCAUCUCGAGACGAUGAAAGGAGCAAUCCGCACGGAGAGGGGACGUGCGUCCCAUUAGUUAGUUGGUGGGGUAACGGCCUACCAAGACUCCGAUGGGUAGCUGGCUUGAGAGAGCGACCAGCCACACUGGAACUGAGACACGGUCCAGACUCCUACGGGAGGCAGCAGUGAGGAAUUUUUCCGCAAUGGGCGAAAGCCUGACGGAGCGACGCCGCGUGUGGGAUGAAGGCCUUCGGGUCGUAAACCACUGUCGAAGGGGACGAUAUUGACGGUACCCUUGGAGGAAGCCCCGGCUAACUACGCGCCAGCAGCCGC